UACGUAGGGACCAAGCGUUGUCCGGAAUCAUUGGGCGUAAAGCGCGCGUAGGUGGCCAUUUAAGUCCGCUGUGAAAGUCAGAGGCUCAACCUUUGAAAGCCGGUGGAUACUGGAUGGCUAGAGUACGGAAGAGGCGAGUGGAAUUCCUGGUGUAGCGGUGGAAAUGCGCAGAUAUCAGGAGGAACACCAAUAGCGAAGGCAGCUCGCUGGGACGUACUGACACUAAGGCGCGAAAGCGUGGGGAGCGAACAGG
rnacentral:rRNA from 1 species